GCAACUUGUUUGAGUCUGGCCACUUGCUCACCAUCUGGAACUACUUCAUAUUCUUAUUACCAAAAAAAAAAUGAAAGAAAGAAAGAAACGAAAAAGAGAAAAAGGAUGAGUAACGCUGCUGGGUUGCCUUUUCUUUUGUACGUUUUGCUGGGUGCUUAACCCACCCAGGGCUCCCUCCCACCUGGAGGCACCCUACCAGCCACAGUUUAUCUGACACUCCGUUCGACUACAGAACUACUCCCUCGAAAUAUAAGACAGAGAACUACGCUGGAAAUUAGGAGACCUGAGCUGUAUCCCAGCUUCUGGCUCACUUCUGACACAAACCAUUCAACUUCCUUGAGCCCUGGAUUCCCGGAUUGUGAAACUAAGGAGCUGGGUGAUGUGAUUAUAUGUGAAUAUUUUGGACAUUUCAUGUAAAUGGAAUCAUACAAUAUAUAGGCUUGAGUUUGGACGGAAGUUGGUGUGGCUAUAAAAGGGCACAUGAGGAAUCCUUGUUGUGACGAAAACUGAAGUUUUAAUUUGUAGGAUCUUGGAUUGACUUAAUUUCAAAGACUCAGCCUUCAUAGAUAUGCAAUACAAAGUUUAUGCCCAAAGUAAAAGACUGAAGAGAAUAAGUAAGUGUGGGAAAAGGCAUUCCCAGUUGACCUCCCGCUAUGUCAAUGGCAAGUUGAAGACUGUACCUCGGGGCUGGGGGAAACCAGAGUUGAAGAGAAAGCUGAAGACAGUUGAAGAGUGAGCUGCUGGAGCAGGUUAACACCUUGUAAAACAGACCUGAAUAAGAGUAUAUUCAACGUUCAAGAAGAUUCUUUGGGGGCUGGCCCCACGGCCGAGUGGUUGGAGUUCCACACGCUCAGCAGCGCCGGUUAGUGGGUUUGGAUCCUGGGUGCAGACCUGCUCCACUCAUCAGUCAAGCCCUGGAGGAGUAAACAGAGCCCUGUGUUUUGACAAGUUCACCUCUGCCACGUAUUAUAAAAGAAGAAGAGAAAAAGGCAUGGGACUGAUCCCCAUCUCAGUGUGCAAUUCUGCCAAAAGGAAAACAGAUUUGGUGCCACAGAGCAGUUACUGUGUGUCCAGCUUCUAUUGGAAGGAUUACAGGCACUGGCACCUGGGCUGUGAUGCCUGGCAUGGCUGGGGGCUCACCAGUCAACUCCCUUCCCACUCAGCCUCUCCACGUAGCUAGACUGAAUAUCCUCACAGCAAGAUGGUCUUAGGGAGAAUAAAAAACAGAACUUACCUGUGGAAGGUAGAAUAUGGCCUGCCAACGAUGUCCAUGUCCUAAUCCCCAGAACCAUAAGGGAUGUAUUAGGUUUAAUGGUAAAGAGGAGUUAAGAUUGAAGACAUUAAUUUUGCUAAUCAGCUAACUGUGAGAUGAGGAGUUUAUCCUGAAUUAUCCAGGUGGACCCAAUGUAACCACAAGGGUUCUUAUAAGUAGAAGAGGAAAGACAGAGAGAACUGGAGAUAUGGCCGUGUGAAAAGGACUCAGCCUGACCUUCCUGGCGUUGAAGAAGGAGAAAUGGUGCCACACGCUGAGGACUGAAGACCAGAAAGAAUCUAGAAGAGGGAAGGAACCAGAUUAUCCCCUGAAGCCUCUAGAAGGAACAUAGCCUUGCCAACACCUUGAGUUUAGCCCAGUGAGACCCAUUUUGGACUUCUGACCUCCAGAACUGUAAAAGAAGAAACUUGUGUUGUUUUAAACCACAGUAAACAUUAUGGUGAUUUGUUACAGCAAGCAUAGGAAAUUAAUACACUGCCUCAUGGGAUCGUUAUGAGGAUUAAAUGAGAUGAUACGUGUAAUCAUGAUUAAAAUAUAUUCUAG
rnacentral:lncRNA from 1 species